GACGAACGCUGGCGGCGUGCUUAACACAUGCAAGUCGAGCGGUAAGGCCCUUUCGGGGGUACACGAGCGGCGAACGGGUGAGUAACACGUGGGUGACCUGCCUUUAGCUCUGGGAUAAGCCUGGGAAACUGGGUCUAAUACCGGAUAUGACCCUAUGGCGCAUGUUGUGGGGUGGAAAGCCUUGUGCGGCUAGGGAUGGGCCCGCGGCCUAUCAGCUUGUUGGUGGGGUGAUGGCCUACCAAGGCGACGACGGGUAGCCGGCCUGAGAGGGCGACCGGCCACACUGGGACUGAGAUACGGCCCAGACUCCUACGGGAGGCAGCAGUGGGGAAUCUUGCGCAAUGGGCGAAAGCCUGACGCAGCGACGCCGCGUGA
rnacentral:rRNA from 1 species